rnacentral:ncRNA from 1 species
GUAUUGUGGGGACCACCUCCUCUGAGAGGUGUUGGGCAUUAGCCAGCCACGACGGCUUGCACGUGAGAACUAGACCCCUUCGUGCAGACACCAAGCCAGCCGUCGCAGCCAGCCAGGCCGCUUUUUUGG